GCAGACGUGGCGGAACUGGUAUACGCGCAACGUUGAGGUCGUUGUCCAAUUUAUUGGGUGCAGGUUCAAGUCCUGUCGUCUGCA
rnacentral:tRNA from 15 species